rnacentral:rRNA from 1 species
UACGGAGGGGGUUAGCGUUGUUCGGAAUUACUGGGCGUAAAGCGCGCGUAGGCGGACUAUUAAGUCGAGGGUGAAAUCCCGGGGCUCAACCCCGGAACUGCCUUCGAUACUGGUAGUCUGAGUUCGAGAGAGGUGAGUGGAAUUCGAGUGUAGAGGUGAAAUUCGUAGAUAUUCGGAGGAACACCAGUGGCGAAGGCGGCUCACUGGCUCGAUACUGACGCUGAGGUGCGAAGCGUGGGGAGCAAACAGGAUAGAUACCCCGGGUAGUCC